UAAUACUGAAGGCAGCAGUAGGGAAACUUGCACAAUGGGCGCAAACCUGAUCCAGCCAUGCCGCGUGAGCGAUGAAGGCCUUAGGGUUGUAAAGCUCUUUCAUCGGUGAAGAUAAUGACGGUAGCCGAAGAAGAAGUCCCGGCUAACUCCGUGCCAGCAGCCGCGGUAAUACGGAGGGGACUAGCGUUGUUCGGAAUUACUGGGCGUAAAGCGCAUGUAGGCGGAUUGUUAAGUCAGAGGUGAAAUCCCAGGGCUCAACCCUGGAACUGCCUUUGAUACUGGCAAUCUUGAGUCCGGAAGAGGCGAGUGGAAUUCCGAGUGUAGAGGUGAAAUUCGUAGAUAUUCGGAGGAACACCAGUGGCGAAGGCGACUCGCUGGUCCGGUACUGACGCUGAGAUGCGAAAGCGUGGGGAGCAAACAGGAUUAGAUACCCCGGUAGUCCACGCCGUAAACGAUGAGUGCUACUCGCCGGGCAGUAUACUGUUCGGUGACCCACCUAACGCAUUAAGCACUCCCCCU
rnacentral:rRNA from 1 species